UACGUAGGGACCAAGCGUUGUUCGGAUUUACUGGGCGUAAAGGGCGCGUAGGCGGCAAUUCAAGUCAUCUGUGAAAUCUCCGGGCUUAACCCGGAACGGUCAGAUGAUACUGCUUGCUAGAGUGCGGAAGGGGCAAUCGGAAUUCUCGGUGUAGCGGUGAAAUGCGUAGAUAUCGAGAGGAACACCAGAGGUGAAGACGGGUUGCUGGGCCGACACUGACGCUGAUAGCGCGAAAGCCAGGGGAGGCAAACGGG
rnacentral:rRNA from 1 species